rnacentral:rRNA from 1 species
GACGAACGCUGGCGGCGUGCUUAACACAUGCAAGUCGAACGGAAAGGCCCUGCUCUUGUGGGGUGCUCGAGUGGCGAACGGGUGAGUAACACGUGUGUAACCUGCCCUUUACUUUGGGAUAACUUCAGUAAACUGGGGCUAAUACCCGAUAUGAGCUCCUGCUGCAUGGUGUGGGUUUGAAAGUUUCGGCGUUUGGGGAUGGACUCGCGGCUUAUCAGCUUGUUGGUGGGGUAGUGGCUUACCAAGGCUUUGACGGGUAGCCGGCCUGAGAGGGUGACCGGCCACAUUGGGCCUGAGAUACGGGCAAGACUGCUACGGGAGGCAGCAGUGGGGAAUAGUGCACAAUGGGCGGAAGCCUGAUGCAGCAACGCCGGGUGGGGGAUGACGGCUUUCGGGGUGUAAACCGCUUUCGCCUGUGACGAAGAGUGAGUGACGGUAAUGGGUAAAGAAGCACCGGCUAACUACGUG